UUUUGUAACCACUUUUCUACACUUCGCCUACUCACUUUUAGCAAAAUUGCCAAUCUUUCAGUGGAAUCGCCAGUUCUGAGUUUCAUAAGAUAAGCAGCCAAAGCUAAUGUUGCAUUUGGAAUUUCUAACAACUGAGGAACUUCAGUCCACAUCUGAUGGAACUGAGCUUUAUUCAAUCCAGUCCAUUAAAAGACUGUACAUAAUUGGACCUUAAACUGUCAAGAAAAUCCCAUGCUUCGAUAAUCAAAUGUUGACCACAAAGACGGUUAUUUUCAGUUUCAGAAGCUCUCAUGUAUUCUGGCAAUACAAUAGUAGG